rnacentral:tRNA from 1 species
UAGCCUAGCGGUUAAGGCUAUGGAUCGCCAAUCCAGAGACGGCGGGUUCGAUCCCCGU